rnacentral:rRNA from 1 species
UACGUAGGGGGCGAGCGUUGUCCGGAGUUACUGGGCGUAAAGGGCCUGCAGGCGGUCGGACGCGUUUCGGGUGACAGCGGGUGGCUUAACUACCCGAGUGGUCGAAAGACGGUUUGACUUGAGGACGCGAGAGGGACACGGAAUUCCGGGUGGAGUGGUGAAAUGCGUAGAGAUCCGGAGGAACACCGAAGGCGAAGGCAGUGUCCUGGCGCGUAACUGACGCUGAGGUGCGAAAGCCAGGGGAGCGAACGGG